GGUUGAUCCUGCCAGUAGUCAUAUGCUUGUCUCAAAGAUUAAGCCAUGCAUGUCUAAGAAUAAACCCUUGAACGGUGAAUCUGCGAAUGGCUCAUUAAAUCAGUUAUUGUUUAUUUGAUGGUACCUUACUACUUGGAUAACCGUAGUAAUUCUAGAGCUAAUACAUGCGCCAAACCCUGACUUUUUGAAAGGGUGCAUUUAUUAGAUUCAAACCAUCGGCUCUGGGCAACCAGCAGCCUUUGAUGGUGAGUCAUAAUAACUUAGCGAAUCGAAUGGCUUCACGCUGUCGAUGCUUCAUUCAAAUUUCUGCCCUAUCAGCUUUCAAUGGUAGGAUCUUGGCCUACCAUGGCUAUAACGGGUAACGGGGAAUUAGGGUUCGAUUCCGGAGAGGGAGCUUGAGAAACGGCUACCACAUCCGAGGAUGGCAGCAGGCGCGCAAAUUACCCAAUCCCGACACGGGGAGGUAGUGACAAUAAAUAACGAUGCUGGAUUAUUCUUAAUCCGGCAAUUGGAAUGAGAGCGAAUUAAAUCUCCACUCGAGGAACCAUUGGAGGGCAAGUCUGGUGCCAGCAGCCGCGGUAAUUCCAGCUCCAAUAGCGUAUAUUAAAGUUGUUGCAGUUAAAAAGCUCGUAGUCUGAAUCUUGGUCUGGUGUUGAGCGUCUGCGGCUUUUCAAGCUGCGUGUAUGCGAUAUUACACUGACCAGUUGUACUUCGGAGGAACGCGGGUGCUUUUUACUAAGUGCUCGUGGGAUUCCGAUAGUUUACUUUGAGAAAAAUAGAGUGUUCAAAGCAGGCGUUUAUUGCCUUUGAAUACAUUAGCAUGGGAUAAUGGAAUAGGACAUUGGUUCUAUUUUGUUGGUUUACGGACCGAUGUAAUGAUUAAUAGGAACAGUUGGGGACAUUCAUAUUCCGCGGCUAGAGGUGAAAUUCUUGGAUUCGUGGAAGAUGAACUAGUGCGAAAGCAUUUGUCAAAGAUGUUUUCAUUGAUCAAGAACGAAAGUUAGGGGAGCAAAGACGAUCAGAUACCGUCGUAGUCUUAACUAUAAACGAUGCCGACUAGGGAUCGGUGGGUGUUAAUUAAUAUGACUCCAUCGGCACCUCAUGGGAAACCAAAGUCUUUGGGUUCCGGGGGGAGUAUGGUCGCAAGGCUGAAACUUAAAGGAAUUGACGGAAGGGCACCACCAGGAGUGGAGCCUGCGGCUU
rnacentral:rRNA from 1 species